rnacentral:rRNA from 1 species
GCCGCGUGAGGGAUGACGGUUUUCGGAUUGUAAACCUCUGUCCUCUGUGAAGAUAGUGACGGUAGCAGAGGAGGAAGCUCCGGCUAACUACGUGCCAGCAGCCGCGGUAAUACGUAGGGAGCAAGCGUUGUCCGGAUUUACUGGGUGUAAAGGGUGCGUAGGCGGAUUGGCAAGUCAGAAGUGAAAUCCAUGGGCUUAACCCAUGAACUGCUUUUGAAACUGUUAGUCUUGAGUGAAGUAGAGGUAGGCGGAAUUCCCGGUGUAGCGGUGAAAUGCGUAGAGAUCGGGAGGAACACCAGUGGCGAAGGCGGCCUACUGGGCUUUAACUGACGCUGAGGCACGAAAGUGUGGGUA